UGCAUGCGCAGCUAUACAUGCAGUCGAGCGAUGGAUUAAGAGCUUGCUCUUAUGAAGUUAGCGGCGGAGGAGCGGCCGUGGGUAACCUGCCCAUAAGAUGGGAAACAAGGGAAACGGGGCUAAUACCGGAUAACAUUUUGAACCGCAUGGUUCGAAAUUGAAAGGCGGCUUCGGCUGUCACUUAUGGAGGGACCCGCGUCGCAUUAGCUAGUUGGUGAGGUAACGGCUCACCAAGGCAACGAUGCGUAGCCGACCUGAGAGGGUGAUCGGCCACACUGGGACUGAGACACGGCCCAGACUCCUACGGGAGGCAGCAGUAGGGAAUCUUCCGCAAUGGACGAAAGUCUGACGGAGCAACGCCGCGUGAGUGAUGAAGGCUUUCGGGUCGUAAAACUCUGUUGUUAGGGAAGAACAUGUGUUAUUUGAAUAAGCUGGCACCUUGACGGUACCUAACCAGAAAGCCACGGCUAACUACGUGCCAGCAGCCGCGGUAAUACGUAGGU
rnacentral:rRNA from 1 species